rnacentral:rRNA from 1 species
UACGGAGGGUGCAAGUGUUAUCCGGAAUCACUGGGUUUAAAGGGUGCGUAGGCGGUGAAGUAUGUCAGUCGUGAAAUUCCUCGGCUUAACCGAAGGGACUGCGAUUGAUACUGCUUUACUUGAAUCAGGUUGAGGUAGGCGGAAUGUGACAUGUAGCGGUGAAAUGGAUAGAUAUGUCAUAGAACACCGAUUGCGAAGGCCGCUUGCUGGACCUGUAUUGACGCUGAGGCACGAAAGCGUGGGGAGCAAACAGG